GGUUCGGAUAACAGUUGGAAACGACUGCUAAUACCGGAUGAUGACGUAAGUCCAAAGAUUUAUCGCCGAGGGAUGAGCCCGCGUAGGAUUAGCUAGUUGGUGUGGUAAAGGCGCACCAAGGCGACGAUCCUUAGCUGGUCUGAGAGGAUGAUCAGCCACACUGGGACUGAGACACGGCCCAG
rnacentral:rRNA from 1 species